rnacentral:misc_RNA from 1 species
GAUGAAGAACGUAGCGAAAUGCGAUAAGUAAUGUGAAUUGCAGAAUUCAGUGAAUCAUCGAAUCUUUGAACGCUCCUUGCGCUCCUUGGUAUUCCGAGGAGCAUGCCUGUUUGAGUGUCAUUAAUAUAUCAACCUUCUCUUUUUUGAGUUGUUUGGAUGUGGGGGUUUGCUGGCCUCUUAAAUGAUUCAGCUCCCCUGAAAUGCAUUAGCAGAACAACCUGUUCAUUAGCGUGAUAAUUAUCUAUGCUAUUGAAUGUGAGGGCAGUUCAGCUUUCUAACCGUCCUUGGACAAUUCAUCAUUAAUGUGACCUCAAAUCAGGUAGGACUACCCGCUGAACUUAAGCAUAUCAAUAAGCGGAGGA